GGGCGUUUAGCGCAGUGGUAGCGCGUAUGCUUUGCAAGAUUGUUUCGGUGCCAAGCCGAGCAUCCAUCCAUGUAUAAGGUCCAGGGUUCAAUCCCCUGAACGUCCA